rnacentral:misc_RNA from 1 species
GAUGAAGAACGUAGCGAAAUGCGAUAAGUAAUGUGAAUUGCAGAAUUCAGUGAAUCAUCGAGUCUUUGAACGCACAUUGCGCCCCCUGGUAUUCCGGGGGGCAUGCCUGUCCGAGCGUCAUUGCUGCCCUCAAGCACGGCUUGUGUGUUGGGCCCCCGUCCCCGGUUUCCCCCGGGGACGGGCCCGAAAGGCAGCGGCGGCACCGCGUCCGGUCCUCGAGCGUAUGGGGCUUUGUCACCCGCUCUGUAGGCCCGGCCGGCGCCAGCCGACACCCAACUUUAUUUCUAAGGUUGACCUCGGAUCAGAUAGGGAUACCCGCUGAACUUAAGCAUAUCAAUAAGCGGAGGA